rnacentral:lncRNA from 1 species
GGGUCAGCCCGAGCCCGUGCGGGCCCUUUAAGGGCCGGGGGCGUGUAGCGGGCCCGCCCCCUCCCCGCGGCGCCCGCAGUCCGUUAAGUGCGAGCCCCGGCGCAGGGGCCGGAUCUGGCCGGGGGCCGGCGGCGGUGUGGGAGCGGCGCGUCAUGUACACCAUCACCAAGGGGCCCAGCAAGCUGGUCGCGCAGCGCCGCACAGGUCCCACGCAGCAGCAGGUGGAGGGCCGGCUCGGCGAGCUCCUGAAAUGCCGGCAGCCCGCGCCGCCGACCUCGCAGCCCCCGCGGGCGCAGCCCUUUGCGCAGCCGCCGGGACCCUGGCCCCUUGCCCCUCUCAGCUGAGGAGGAACCGAGAGCGGCGCUGGGGCACCUGAGCCCAGGAAGGCAACAGGCCGGCCGGGACCGCGAGUGCCUGGCGGAGCAGGCGCAGCCCAGGACUCCCGGCUCCCACCUCCGGCUUCCAGGGCCAAGGCUUGUGUUCAAUCGUGUGAAUGGCCGGCGGGCCCCCUCCACGUCCCCAUCCUUCGAGGGGACCCAGGAGACCUACACAGUGGCCCACGAGGAGAAUGUCCGCUUUGUGUCCGAAGCCUGGCAGCAGGUGCAACAGCAGCUGGAUGGUGGCCCAGCCGGUGAGGGCGGGCCAAGGCCUGUGCAGUACGUGGAGAGGACCCCCAAUCCCCGGCUGCAGAACUUUGUGCCCAUUGACCUAGACGAGUGGUGGGCGCAGCAGUUCCUGGCGAGAAUCACCAGCUGUUCCUAGUGGCUGCUGGGAGGGGGCGCUGCUACACGGCCGACCUGUCGCCAGGAGAGAAGCAUGGCGCCCUGCCCACCCACUGCGCCUGGCUGGGUGCCGGCCACACCUGAAGUGCCAGCAUUUGGACUUUUGCACCUUUUUUUCCCUUGGCCCGGCUGUCCCAACCAAGCUGCCAUGGCCAAGGGCCGAACCCGUCUGACCUCAGCCCUGCUCACUGUGCCCAGGGACCAGCGACCAGCCCCUGGGGCUGGCAGGGAGGAGCUCCAGGCUAAUAAAGUGGAGAAACUGUC